rnacentral:misc_RNA from 1 species
GAUGAAGAACGUAGCGAAAUGCGAUACGUAGUGUGAAUUGCAGAAUUCCGUGAACCAUCAAAUCUUUGAACGCAUAUUGCGCUCAAGGCUUCGGCCGAGAGCAUGUCUGCCUCAGCGUCGGGUUAAUAUCACUCCAAACAACCCUUGUGGUUUAGUAAGAGUGGACCUGGCUGUCCCAAUGCGCGAGCUGCUUGCAGCUAUCAAAGCGUGAUUGGUCAGCUGAAGUAUAGAGGUUAACGCAAGGACCCUUAUGGGCCGCAACUGGGUAGGCAGCUCACGCUCGCUAUUUCUAGUUGUUGGCUUGGACCAUGUGUUGACCCUCAAGCAGGAAUUAUUAACCUUUAUUUUCUCGACCUGAGCUCAGGCAAGAACACCCGCUGAACUUAAGCAUAUCAAUAAGCGGAGGA